UGAUUCAGCUAAAUGUACAAGCACUAGGGUGUUUUUAAUUUAACAGAGAAGCUGGACAAGAAGAAUGACCUAAAACAUUGCAUUUAAAGAAAGUCAGAGGCGAGGGGGAGGCUACAGGAAGUGAGUGGGAGUAGAGAUGUGUGUGUGUGAGAGAGAGAAAUGGAGGGAGAGGGAGGGAGGAAGGGAGGAGGGAGGUGGAGAGAGAGAAAAAACCACCCUGCUGGCAAAUGAAUGCAGCAGGGAUGAUGUCAUUGGAACAGUUGGAGGAGAGAGGAGAAAAACAAGUCGGAGCGCUGUGCUAAUCCUGUUUGCUGCCCUGAAGGGAAUGGAAGGCGGCCAAGGCAGGGAGUUCUGGGAAACCAUAUAAGGGUGCCAAACAAGCAUUGCCGCCAACAUUAGGAACUGACAGCUUUGUUCUUUGUAACUUGGCUGCCCGCCAGAGGCCUCAUUUCAGCUCUGCGGCAUGAUUACCCUGGACGGCCGCCAGCCCCGCGCUGAGAGCUCCUUUUCUUCUCUCCGAGCUUUUUUUUUUUUUUUCCUCUUUCCCUCUGCCAAACAUGCAGCAGUUACCAUGGCAGUGGAAAGUAAAGUUUUAAAAAAACACAACAAAGUAGAGAGGCACGCCUUUAUCCAGAUGUGCCACAUGAGUAGAUAGAAAAGGCAGUUCACCUAUUCAUCGCGGCCUUUGACUGCAGAAGAAAACACUGGGGCACUGGCUGUCAAGUUCGGGAGGGAGGUGACUCCAGGAUAAACAGAGCAGCCAGCAGCCCUGGCUGCAGACAGAGAGGGGCUGGCUCCCAGGCCUUAUUUUCCUUCCCUCUCUCUCUCCCUUCCUGGGGCAUUGUGGAGUGCGUAAUGUGAAACGGAAAAUGUCAUGAUUUCCACUGGGAAUGUGUCCACGGUUUUGAGAAAGCUCCAGAAACUCAGGUCCAUAAAGCACUGAGGGGAGGAGGAAGGGAGGGAGGAGAAGUGGGCGGUCACAGUGCCCUCUGGUCACCAAGGUGAACCCAGCGAGCAGGAGCCAGUCCGUGGCCGUGGCCCAAGCCUCUGCUCUCUGCUGGAGCGUGGCCAGGCCGUUGUCCUAGGGUUGCAGGCUGUUCAGGGGUCCUGGGUCCCAUGGAGCCCUGGGACCUGAGGAACAGGGAUGUUCCCUUUUCCCCCUUGGAGGUGCAACCAGUAGUUUGGCUUGACAGGGGGACUCUGUGAAGAGUCCAGUUCCUUAUUUUUAAUCUGGUUUGUUUUUCACCUGCUUAGAAAGUGGAACAUCUCCUGAGAGGUGACAAGUCGUGAUCAAAGGCAAGUCUCCAGGCAAAGACUUGGCAGGUUUCCGAAGCAAAGGUUACUUAGAAGUGGAGGUUCCACUGCCAGCUUCCCCCCGCUGCAAAACCUGACACUCCUCACCCUCAGGGUUCGGCAAGAUUCUCGGAAAGGCGUCUUCUGAUUCUAGGAGGUGCUGCAGCAGGAGCUGACUCGGCCAUUUCCUGGCCUCUUUAGUUGGAAGAUGACAGAAAGGCGGAAGCAGGGACUGCUAUUGUGAGGCCCAUGGCAGCCUCCCUGUAAAACAAAUUGGCAAAUUGUCACCUUCAGAUGGACCACAGCUGGCCCUCUGAAGAGCCCUCCUUGGCCUUUCCAGAGUGUGCAUGAUUGUGCCCCAUGGCCAGGGAGAGGACAGAGCCACCAGGAGGGUCAAGGUCGUGGAGGGAAACAUGGGUGAGUAAGAGAUGGACCCCAGAAAUCCCUCCUCAUGCUCCUCUUUACUAUCACAGGCCUUGGCUGCCUUUCUCGGGAGGCGUUCCCAGCUCAGAGUUGGGGAUGCACUAAGAUAAAGCAAAGAGGGCCCUAUUGGGGUAGGGGUGAGGGGACUUGGUUGACCUCCUUUGGGGAUAUAGCAAAGCAGACGCAUUCCCGCCCUUGCUGGCUGGAAUGCCCAGUCCUUCCCUGCCUCCCCAGGCCCCACACACCCUGGCUGACAUCUGUGCCGAGGACACAGCCAAGGAGAGCUGGAAGGAGCAGAGGGGAGAAUCGGGUACCAGUUCCAUACAAACAGGACCCACAGGCUUGGGGUCCCCAGAGGAUGGCAGAGCUAGGGGAGACUGGGAGCUGGAGGCCAGACAGGGGCACACUUUUGCCUCAGGUUGGGGAGACAGUACAAAUAAAAACUUGUUGCUGUGCAGAACUGAUCCAAAGACGAACUUGAGUUUCUUAAGAAGAGGCUCAGGUUUGGAAGUAGAACUUGACAUGAUGGUUGUCUCCUUUCCUUAACCUGCGACUCAAAACCAAGGGCAAGUGGAUCUCUCACAUCAGACAGAGGAGCAGCCUCCUAGAGUCUGCUAGAGCAGCUACCCAGAGUGAAAGAGGGCUACUGACUUUGGAGCUGAUGCCCAGGUCAGGGCCUGGUCGAGCCACAUCCCCGUCCUUCAUUCCCAGCCGCUGAUGACCUUCUAGAAGCAACACUGAGUUCGGCAGCUUGGUGUCCACUGGGGCACAGCAUGUCUGAGCCUAACCCAACGGCCAGCCUCUCAUUGGCUCAGCUUGUCUUCCCAGGUACUGCCUGGAAAACCAGCCUCUGGCAGGGAUGUCCGGGCCUGCCCUUCCCACCUCGACCAGGGUGGAAAUCCGAUUCCCUGGGCCUUGUUUUCAGAGUUCCAGUGUUCUCUCUCAUAGCCUGUAAGUGGAGAAGGGCAAGUUGAAGAAGGAACAGACUGUUUUCUCAGGGGGAAGCCGGGCAGCUUGUGUAUGCCUCCCAGCAUCGCGGCGUGGUAGAUUCAUCCGGCCCUGAGGACAUGAAUUUGGUUCCUCCAGGAGCUCCUCCAGCCUCAAGAUCCACGAAUUCGAUGGAAGUGAGUCCUGGUGCGUAAAUCUGUGCUGAUGUCACCCAGUGCCUUCACCUGCCUGUCGGUGAAAAUUCUGGGACAAGACCCUCACCUGCCUGCACAGGGGGGCCAUGAGGUCUAGAGGCCCAAAUGAAGACCUCACCAAAUGGAUCUCCCUGAGGUGUCAGGGCCACUGGCGUGGUGCCAGGGCCUGUCUGUUCUUCCUGCUAGCCAAAGACUGACUUCUCAAGCUGCUGGAUGAACGGGGAACCUGGAGACGUUGAACAAGUCACGUGUAUCUCUGAUUGCCUUGAUCUCCCCAUUUUGGCCGAUGGCAUCUCUAAAGCAUUUGAUGAUUCCACCAUCAAGUGUGAGAGCUACAGGAGAUAAAAAUUUUAAAUUACUAAUCACCCAUGAUAAUGCAUGGUAAUGCAUGCUGAACAGUGAGGAGGGCAGACACCACUGGCAUUCCAAAACAGGAAGCACUCAGGAGCUCUGCCAGAGCGUGGCUGCCCUCUCCACAUCUGCACUGCUGCACUGCGGGUUUAGUUGAUCCAUCUCUUCCACACAUUUGCAGAGAUAUGCUCAAGCAUGACUUAAGUGACUUAUUGCUCACGUGUUGCCUCUGUAUGUCAUGCUUUUCACCCAGUGAGCUCGUUGAGGACAAGGGUUGCAUUUUAGGACAUUUCCCCCAGUGUCUUCAUAGAACCUGGCAAGACACACGGCCUUGUUGGAAAUGCCAAACAUCUAUUAUUCACCGGCAGAGCGGAUGAGCCCCUGAAAGGCAUGUAGUUGAGCUGCGCAGUCUGAACUCAGCAAAGUCCUCGCAGCGGGCUCCAAAUUCCUGCCUCUGAAGAAGCGAGCUGAGCCUUAAAGAUGGCUGAAAAUGUGAACAGUCGCAGGGCCACACAGACCCACCUGAGUGGUUGCUCUCUGAUGGCUCACUGAGCCAUCCACCAUCCCAGCAAGGAAAGGGCCUGUAAGAAGACCAGAAAAGGCCUCAUUCAGUCAUGCUGCUUAGUCAUGGCCCAAACCUGGAGCAUUUAAUUCUGCUCACUGUGACUUUAUUGCAAUGGCACACACAUUUACAUCACUUUAUGUGUGAUAACAGUAGAGAGGUUAGUUGGGCUUUUCUGUUUUUUGUUUUUUUAAGAUAAUGAGAAAAGUCUCUAAUAUUCAGCCAAAACGUAUCCUUGUGGCUGGUAUAGAUUUUUGGCGAAAUGACAUCGUACAUAAUCAGAAGAAGGCAAACACGCAUAUUAUCUCCAUCUCCUUAUAACUGCACAAGAUAACAUGAAACUGCAGGAAGUAUCAAGCAUAAGAAUAAAAGCCGUCUACUGAAGCCUGCAUAGCAUCCCCUGCGUGCCUCAGGAACGCCCUUCGGUGGAUUAGGAUGAGCACGCUGGAAAACACACACCCUGCCGCUGCAUCUGGCUAAUGCCAGGCCCCAGCUCCUGUUCCUGAAGCCGCAGAUCACCUGAGUGUCUAUGUCGUGUCUGCUGGAGUUUAGGUUAGGCAGGUGACAUGGCUCCAAAGAAAGUCACCGGCUGGUUUCUGCUGCAGGGAUUUGUGUCCACUUCAUGCAUGUUUAUUGUCUGGUAACUCCAUGUGAAGCCACAGCAAAGCCUACGUGAUGUUGUUAGACAGGUCACAACCCAGUCAGUGGGAUCAAGACAAGAGGUGGAGACAGCAGGCCUUGACACUCUGGAAUCAUUCUAAUUUGUAACUAGGACACCUGAUGAAGGGGAGGCGUGCCUAGUCUCUGGGGGGGAGUUCCUGCUGAGACCCGCCAGGUAUACAGUUGGUCCUUGUCUGCAGUGACCCCAGAGACAUUUAUUGCAACAUCUGCACAUCAGCUUACGGCAGCUGUGUUCUGCCUGGCCCAGGAUGGACUCUGCUCCGUCUUUGAGAGUCAGCCGCUCCAGGGCAGCAGUGGGGUUGGGAAGAGGGGAGGAGGGACCUCCAUGGUGCACCAGCUCCUAGACAGCCAGCUCAAGCUACAUUUCAGGCCGUCUCGGAGGCUUCUUCUGGACAAUUGUGGGUUCGCUAGGUGACAGUCCAGGAACCUGGGGGCCAGGGAGUUGUGGCUUCUGAGAUAAGGACUUCGUCCAUUGGAGAUAAACUAGAGGGUUUCUGCCUCUGCUCCCUCCAGGGGCGGCUUAUGGCACAGGCUCACCAAAUUGCAGGCCCCAGAGCACCUGCAAUCUCAGGGAGCUCUGGGGCUUCCCAGCAUGGGCAGGGGAAGCCACAGAUUCGUUUCUCCUGCAGAUGCAGAGACCCUGGGGUGGAUGGUCUAAAGCUCAGGAUCUUACAAUGCGGAGAAGAUGGAAUAGAGCAGGAACCAGGCCCCUGUCUGGAGGAAGGAACCAAUAACAACAACAACAAAACUACCGACAACGUGCGUGCUUUACAAUUUUCAAAGCGCUCUCAUCUCAGUCAAGGAAGGAUGCAUUCUCUCCACAGGCUGACGUUCAAAACCCAACCACCAGAAACAUGAAGAUAAAACAAAAGCAACCACCAGAAACAAACAAGACACCCGUCCAUCCUCCAGGUUUGCAAAUCAGACCAAGUGCUGACAAUUGGUAAAAAGGAAGAUGAGAAGAUCCGGCCAGAUAAAUUCUCUGGUACCUUCACUGAUCUCAUUCUUUCACCAUCAAAGGGGAAUGCAGUAAUGCCAGCAGGAGCAGGGAAAAAAAAAAAAAAAAACUAAAAAGAACAAGAGCGACUAGUCAAAGCUAGUACAGUGUUUCCCUGGUACUGAGUCAUACUUUUACAAUGAUCCAGGCCUGUGGCCUCAACUGAUGACAAAUAAUGAGAAUCCAACAAUCGUUCUUUUUCGCAUACUCACUUGUGAAUAAAUGCAAGAACUGG